rnacentral:sRNA from 1 species
UCAAUGUGCGCGCCUGCGGGCUCCUUGU